UACAGGGGGGGCAAGCGUUGUUCGGAAUUACUGGGCGUAAAGGGCUCGUAGGCGGCCAACUAAGUCACACGUGAAAUCCCCAGGCUUAACCUGGGAACUGCGUGUGAUACUGGAUGGCUUGAAUUCGGGAGAGGGAUGCGGAAUUCCAGGUGUAGCGGUGAAAUGCGUAGAUAUCUGGAGGAACACCGGUGGCGAAGGCGGCAUCCUGGACCGGCAUUGACGCUGAGGCGCGAAAGCUAGGGGAGCAAACGGG
rnacentral:rRNA from 1 species